rnacentral:rRNA from 1 species
GUGGGGAAUCUUGCGCAAUGGGCGAAAGCCUGACGCAGCCAUGCCGCGUGAAUGAUGAAGGUCUUAGGAUUGUAAAAUUCUUUCACCGGGGACGAUAAUGACGGUACCCGGAGAAGAAGCUCCGGCUAACUUCGUGCCAGCAGCCGCGGUAAUACGAAGGGGGCUAGCGUUGCUCGGAAUUACUGGGCGUAAAGGGCGCGUAGGCGGACAGCUUAGUCAGAGGUGAAAGCCCAGGGCUCAACCUUGGAAUUGCCUUUGAUACUGGCUGACUUGAGUUUGGGAGAGGUGAGUGGAACUCCGAGUGUAGAGGUGAAAUUCGUAGAUAUUCGGAAGAACACCAGUGGCGAAGGCGACUCACUGGCCCAAUACUGACACUGAGGCGCGAAAGCGUGGGGAGCAAACAGGAUUAGAAACCCGAGUAGUCC